rnacentral:lncRNA from 1 species
UUUGCUUUCAUGGCAGUGACCACAAGGUGUACACUGAGUCAUUCAGGUUCUCGAUUUCUCUCUGGUUUUAGUUUUUGUUUUUGCUUGUUUUGUCUUGUUUUGUCUUGUUUUACACUAGUGAAGAUAUUGGUGUGGUGAAGGGCUGUGCUCUGUUGAUGGCCCAGACUGUAAACCAUUCAUUACACACUUUUAUUCAUUGCACAUGUUUAGCAGUGACUAUGCGGUGAGCAAGAUGCUAGGACACUGGAGGAUGCAAAAGGAAUGAGAUAUGACUCUAACCUACAAUGGCUGAUGCCUCACCAGGAUAAAUACAAAUUUUGGUUGUUAGAAAGUGGAAUUGGAACAAGAAAUAUUUAGGUUAUUCUGGGGAGGAAAUGAAUCAGCCGGGUUACGUUCAGCUUCAUGUAACAGAAUUGCUGGCCCAAAGUGGCUUCACCACAGGUGGCUAUGAUGUCGCCAACAAGGAGUCCGGAGUCAGGAGGCUCCGGGGUUGAUGAAUUCAUCCUGUCGGCAAGGGCAGGCUUUCAUCAGCUCCUCUGGGAUUCUCCUUCCUCUUUCCUCACAGUCUCACUGUGGCUGCUACAGCUGCGAACAUCACACACUCACUCUACCAGGUCAAAGGCAGAGAGCGAUGAUUGAUUCCUACUGCCUUUCUUUCUUAGUUAAAGAGACAAAACCUUCCCAGACACCACGUUUCUCCUGCAGCAGGCGUCCUCUCAGGCCCUAUUGGCCAGAACUGGGUCAAGUGCCCUCCUCACCCCCAACCAAUCCUGGCAAAGAGGAAGGGCAGGACCAUGACUGGUUUUCUCCAGUCACAAUUCAUUCCCCCGAAAUGGGCCUACUUUCUCUGAGCCCAUUGCAUCAGGAGACCAGAACAACUUACAUUUUAUUUAUUAGUAUUACCACUAUUCAGUGUCAAAAAGAAGAAACGACUGCUGGAGAAAAUACCAACAAUGUUUGCAACAGGAGGCGAGAAGGUCAAGGACCAAAAGUUCAGGUAUAGAAUGGAUUGUCAUUAUGGAAGCAGAAGUCACAGAAAAUACACAGGGGUGUAGUGGCCAGCAGCGAGCAGGGCUAAAGUCUUCAGUGAUGACCACAGGGACGCAGAAGGAGCAGACCACUGCGUAGGAGGAGUGAUGGGUGCCGUCCAGGAAGGUGCUUCCACUUUCUCAGAUGGGCAGCCUUCUCCCUCUUUGGCCCUCGACCCCUGGCGUGAGGACCCUUCCUCUUCUUGGAGUCUCGCCUCCUCUGUGCUUGCCCCAGGACACCUGGAGCCUGCCCACCCUCUUCUCCAUCUCCCCUCCCCCGCCAUGCAUGCCGUCCUCAGAGCCGGCCAUCAGACGGGAGAGGCCGGGGCAGCAAAUAGAACAGUUGCAGCGUCAGGACCCAGGCCUCCAGUGGUCACCAUGGAACCCCUGGGCGGAACUUCAGUGAUGGGCAGGGCCCGGGGAGGACCCUGCCGGCUCUCCAUCCCCGAGGGUCCUGGGGCACUGGGUAGGGCUGCCUGCGUGGCCGGUCGCCGCACCGACUCCCAGGGCUCCACGUGUGAAGUGAACGCUCAGCCACUGGGGGGAGGGAGCCGGACACUGUAAGGCGCACGGGCUGCGUGGGCAGCGAGCCCUCCUGUAGGGACACCCCGUUGGCGUCCAGUCGGGGUGAUGACAUAAGGAGGAGGGGGUGAGAGCCGCCGGGCCACUGGUCAGGGUGAGCUGUGACGUCACAGGAGGCGUUGUGACGGAGGGGCGGUUAUAAAAGCCGGGGCGCGGGCCCGGGGCCUGGCUAAGGGUAGGGGUGGCCCCUCGGUGGCAGCUGCGUGCGCCGCCCGGCCUGUAGCCCACACGGCGCGGUGCGCUCCGUCUGCGUGUUCGUCCACCUGCGCGCCCCUCUGCGGCCGAGUCCCAGCCCCGCACUCCGGGACCUGCCCGUGCUCCUCGCCUCCGCGGCCUCUUCGGCGGGGGAACCAGUACAGAGGACCCUCACCCAGCGAAAAGCCCUCCCAGGCCUCGCGGAUAAGCGCCGGGCGGCAAGAGUGCCCCGGGGGUCCCGCUGACCCAGCGCAGCACAGGGCAGCCGCCGGCCCCGCUCUCGUCCUCGGGACCACCCCACCACCAGCACCACGUGCGCAGCGGGUCCAGCCCCAAGGUUUCCUGGAUGUCCCCGAGUCCUCGCCUGCGCCUGGCGAUCAGCGCCUCUGCCAGGCCCAGAGGUGGCUGGAAGAGGCUGCUCCCUAGCAGAAGACGUCAUUCCGAUGUGGUGUGCCCAGAAGAUGCAGAGGGUAAGGAGAGCGGCUCAGGAACUCAUGCUACCUGGCAGCCCUGGCCCUGGGCGUGUCCCUGGUUUCCCGGUGGUUCCCCAACCUCCGGAAAGGAGAGAACCAGUCCCCCGGCCCCUCCCGCCCACCAGGAUUCUGUCUGUAAGACGGAAGCCAGGAGAUGGCCAGGAAGGACAACCUGAACGCAGGCAAGUGGAGUGUCUUGACCCAGUAACAGACAUCAGAGGCCACCCAUCCAGGCGGAAAUCCAUCUCCAGUGGAGGGCCGAUCAGGGGCCAUCUGCGAGGGCAGGUUGCUCCUUCUGUCCGAGGCAGGCUUGGAAAGGUCUGUGCAGGACAGUGCCAAGGCCUGGCCAGGGUUUGGAGCCAUUCAGAGCGCAGGCCCCUAACGGGUCACUGGGCCAAGGUGCUUGCGGGGCUCGUGGCCUGAAGACCUUUGUCCUGGGACCGACACCAGCCUGGUGUCCUGGUGGCAUACCACUUGGGGACCCUUCUUCUUCUGGCUCAGAGGGAGCAAAGGCUGCGUGCGUUAGAACAACAGAACGACGAGAAGUGGGAAGACCUGUCCGUGGACAUCCAACUUAUGGAGGAAGGCACGCCGGACUCUGAGGGGAAGCUGGAAUUGACCAAAACAGCUCUUAACACCUUCGGGGAAAUUAGUGAAAUCUGUCUAAGGGAGUGUCUGAGCUGAAGGAGUCCCUGAAACUGUGUGCAGAAGAAAUCAAAGCUGGAAAACCUGCUUGUCAUCUUGGAAGGACACGCUUUAAAGAACUUGCCAGAGGACCAGGGCUCCCUGGACGUGGCCUGAGAUGAGAGCAGGGAGAGGGGACACCAAGGCUCCAGGUGCACCUCCUCCUGGGCGGUGGGCCCCUCAGCUCCUGGGCCUGUGGCUGGAGCUCAGCAGGACACAGUUGGAAACAUUGGUUAUAUUACCAAGGCUUUGACUGGAAUGUCGCAUUUGAGAAAAACAUGCAGACUUAGAUAUGGCAAGAUGGCUUUUGAAGAACAAAGGUUGACUUUAUGGAAUAAAGCUGCCUGGAAAUAUUGGCCUGGUACCUUGUUUACAGGAUUCCCAGCAACCUUACCAGGGAGUCACCCCUCAAGUGCACCAUACCUGAGUCGAGAGCCACCUGAACCACAAGACCUAGAAACUCCAAGCCAUCCUGGCUUCUCCUACGAGUCACUCUCAGGCCUGAAGCUCUUAUUCCGGAGACACAAAGAUAAGUCCUUGGUGGGCUGGUGUCCCACCCCGUGGAGGUGCCGGGGCUCCUUCUCCUGUCGUCUCUCAUAACUAUACUUAUCCCCACGCUGACCUGUGCCCCCUGGAGUGCCUGUGUCUACAGCACCACCAGGCUACAGAGAGGCUAGUUGGUUAAACAAAAAGGGCCGAUCUGGAGUGGAGUCGAACAGGCUCUUCCCAGCCUGGUUUGGUUUCUAUCACCUUUGGGGGACCUCUUGGGGCUAUUCCGCUGCUUCCACUCUUAGGGCUUUGCAUCCUAAGCUGUCUGGUUUCCUGUGUUAGCAAAAGACUAGAAUCUAUUAAACUCCAAAUGGUAUUAACGAGGGAUAUGAGAGGUUAGGAGUCCAACUGGAUGACAAGCAAACCUACCUAAAAGUCGUUGGGCGUAAGCCCUGCUCCUCCACGGGCCCCUGGGACGCAGCCCUGCUCAGCUGGAAGUAGUUACGGAAGAUGCACCUUCACCUCCUGCCCCUCAACAAUGAGAGCAGGACAUUGUCAGAGGAGGAUUUUGUCCCCCAGGGAAGUCCCUGACAUGUUUCCGUGUCUAACGCUUUGUUCUUAAGCUGUGCUUGCUUAUAGGAACCCAGGCAGGACAAUGCCAGGUGGCCCAACCACAGAACCGGUCCAAACCAGAAAGGUUCAAGAUGGUGAUGGGGUGCUGUGUGCAAAAGAUGCCAUGUGCAAAAGGAAAUCGUGCAAAAGUGCCGUGUGCAAAAGGAAAUGUGUGCAAAAGUGCCGUGUGCAAAAGGAAAUGUGUGCAAAAGUGCCGUGUGCAAAAGGAAAUCGUGUGAAAGGAGCUCUGUGCAGGAAGGGAAGACCUUCGCAUGCCCCCGCCCCGAGCGAUGAGGCGGAGACCUCUCCCCUUCACAUCCACGAGAACCCUGCUCACCUUCCCUUCCAGGAGAAGGUGUUGGAGAGCAGGAGCUCUGCCUCCUCCAUUCGUUGAUGAGUGAAUAGCGUUUCUGCUCUGCUAUUCUGAACCCAGUCUUGUCCUAUUGGCAUGGGUGGCUCCGGGCAAAAGGACCCCUUUGCAGGUCACUGGUCCCUUGGGGCUCCGUAACACCUCCUCCACACGGCAGUGGUGCCAGAUGGACCUGGGUGCAGAAGAGCGCAGAGUCACCUGCUCGCUGUGGGGCCACAACAGCCCAAAGCGCCCCUGGGGGCCCAGGAUGGAGUCUUUCAGAGGACACACCAGCUUCAGGGGCCCCAGGAGAGACAAACCUUGAGCCUUCCUUGCACAGCUCAAGGCCUGAGGCAGGCAGAGGCCUCCAGCAGAGCCUCCAGGGUCCUUCCGGGUCAGAGCCAGCAGGGGGUCAGGGCUGCAGGGUCACACCAGUAGACACGCAGCCCGGCCAGGCAGCACCGAGUGGGAGGAGGGAGCCUGAGACGCGGGGUGGGGACAUGGGCAGACACAGGAGAAGCCACCUUACCCCCAAGUCCCCUGAACCUCCCCUCUGGGAAGCAGCCUUGCCUUCCUCAAAGCCCAUCAACGCCCCACCUGGGGAAGUGGCCAGGAAGGAAGUGCGGCCCCGCCCCCGACCCCUCACUGAGGGCUCCUGCUGCAAGUUCCUGCAUGUGAGCUGCAGAGUGUGUGCUCCGGUGGAACUGGGCAUCGCCCAUGGCAUCGCCAGGGCCUGGGAGCACAGGAUUUUUCUCAAGAACUGAAGCUUCAGGAAGCCUCUGUGUCAUGUUGGAUGUAUCCUAGAGUGGAGUCAUUUUAAGAAAACUGACUGCCUGGAAAGUGGUCCCCAGGGAGUGAACGCUCUGGACAGCUGAGCCUCAGGGAGCCGUUGGAAGCACUUCUUGCCAGAAGUCGAGUCCGUCCUGGACGCGGGGGAAGCGGUGUCUUUUCCAGGAGGAGCGCUGCCUCCCAG